AGUUUCAGCAGAAGGCUCUGAAGCAAAAUAAGCAGAAGAAAUCCAAGUCGGCUGAAUUUCUGAUGGUUAAAGAAGAUAGAGAAGCUACAGAAGGCUUUGAAAAUCCAGCUUUUAACAUGAGCACCUCAGACCUCUCAGCACAUCAGGCUUCAGAAGAGAAAAUUAUUAGGCAUGACACACUAGAUCGCACCCUUGCAGCUCACCAACAAAAAUCCAGGCUGCCAGUCUCCACAGAGCCAAAAGGAAAUGAAUACGGCAGAAAUUACUUUGACCCACUGAUGGAUGAGGAAAUAAACCCAAGGCAGUGUGGGAUGGAGGUCAGCAGAGAGGGUGACAACAAAGUUUUCUGUAAUCAAUUAAUGGAGUUGUCUGAUGAGAGUGGACGAGAAGAAUCUCAAGAUGGGAGCACCAAGGAGGAGAUUUUGGAUUCUGAAGCACUCACAAGUUCCUGUAAGAUUUAUGAAACCCACAAAGAGGCAGAUGAAGCCAUCCCUGAUUCCAUCAAGGCGUUUGAAAGACAUGCUCAGAAAGACAUAACUCUGAUCGGAAGUUCUCCGUUUGAACAGGACUUGAAAUUUGAAGAAGGACUCCACCAGUACAUUCCUAUGUCAUGUUUAAAGAUGGACAAAACAUCCAAGAAGUAAUCAAACUUCCUUUGCAUUUCGAUGAUCAAAAAGUACAUGAAAACUGUACUCGGCUCUCCCCUGAAUUUUCCGUCUGUUUAGUGGCUGAAGCAGAGAAAGCAAAAUUAAAUACGGACAACCCAGCCGGCCUCUCAGGGAAAACAACCCAGGAAAAGAUUCCUGUGUCAACGGAGCAUGGAGCUGAAUCUGCCUUACACUCUUCUCAUGGUUAGUUCACAUUCGACUGCUGGUAUUUCAAAUUGU
rnacentral:lncRNA from 1 species